GAUGAACGCUAGCGGCAGGCCUAAUACAUGCAAGACGAACGGUAAGUUGAGUAGCAAUACUUAGCCAAGAGUGUCGUACGGGUGCGUAACACGUAUGCAACCUACCCUAUACAGGAGGAUAGCCUAGGGAAACCUGGAUUAACCCUUCAUAGUAUUAUUGGAUGGCAUCAUUUGAUAAUUAAAACUGAGGUGGUAUAGGAUGGGCAUGCGUCUGAUUAGUUAGUUGGCGGGGUAAUGGCCCACCAAGACGAUGAUCAGUAGGGGUUCUGAGAGGAAGAUCCCCCACACUGGCACUGAGAUACGGGCCAGACUCCUACGGGAGGCAGCAGUAGGGAAUAUUAGGUCAAUGGAUGCAAGUCUGAACCAGCC
rnacentral:rRNA from 1 species